rnacentral:misc_RNA from 1 species
ACAAAGAACCCAAGAAAGAAAAUGAUGAUGAGCGUCUUGGUGGCAUUCCUAUUACUGAAUCUCCACUAUGUUAUGGUAAAUUUUUGUUUUUAUAUUACCGUCUGUAAUUAAACAAUUCUUGAUUUAUCGUCUGAUUUCUCAGGCAUUUCUCAUGUUCUGGGGCAAUGAAAUUAGCAAUGGCAAAAGGAAAAAAUGGGAUCUUAAAAAUUAUGUGUUGCAUGCAUUGCAUUUGAUUGACACAUAAUUAUGUUUUAUUUUAAACAUCG